rnacentral:misc_RNA from 1 species
CUGAAUUGUCAACAAGAGUUGUUGCUGGUCCCCAGAUGGGGGCAUGUGCACGCUCUGUUAACACAUCCACUCACACCCUGUGCACCCUCUGCAGUCCUAUGGUUGGGGGGGACCUGUCCUCUCCUGCUGUGGUUCUGCAUCUUUACAUACACACCGUAACAAAGUCUCAUGGAAUGCAUGCCGCGUUUAACGCAAUAAAAUA